AUUGAACGCUGGCGGCAGGCCUAACACAUGCAAGUCGAACGAGUGGCGGACGGGUGAGUAAUGUCUGGGAAACUGCCCGAUGGAGGGGGAUAACUACUGGAAACGGUAGCUAAUACCGCAUACCAUCGGAUGUGCCCAGAUGGGAUUAGCUAGUAGGUGGGGUAACGGCUCACCUAGGCGACGAUCCCUAGCUGGUCUGAGAGGAUGACCGGCAACACUGGAACGGAGAAACGGUCCAGACUCCGACGGGAGGCAGAAGUGGGGAAGAUGGAAAAAGGGGGGCAAGCUUGAUGCAGCCAUGCGGGGGGUAUGAAGAAGGCCUGCGGGUGGUAAAGUACUUGCAGCGAGGAGGCGUUACUCGCAGAAGAAGCACCGGCUAACUCCGUGCCAGCAGCAGCGGUAAUU
rnacentral:rRNA from 1 species